rnacentral:rRNA from 1 species
GACGAACGCUGGCGGCAUGCCUAAUACAUGCAAGUCGAACGAGAGCGACCGGUGCUUGCACUGGUCAAUCUAGUGGCGAACGGGUGAGUAACACGUGGGUAACCUGCCCAUCAGAGGGGGAUAACAUCCGGAAACGGACGCUAAAACCGCAUAGGUCUUCGAGCCGCAUGGCUUGAAGAGGAAAAGAGGCGCAAGCUUCUGCUGAUGGAUGGACCCGCGGUGCAUUAGCUAGUUGGUGAGGUAACGGCUCACCAAGGCCGUGAUGCAUAGCCGACCUGAGAGGGUGAUCGGCCACAUUGGGACUGAGACACGGCCCAAACUCCUACGGGAGGCAGCAGUAGGGAAUCUUCCGCAAUGGACGCAAGUCUGACGGAGCAACGCCGCGUGAGUGAAGAAGGUUUUCGGAUCGUAAAACUCUGUUGUUAGAGAAGAGCAAGUGCUAGAGUAACUGUUAGCGCCUUGACG